ACAAACACUAACCACACUUAUAGCAGAGUGGGUAGGUUACCCUUCUUCUAUACCAGUUGCCGCUUCACCAUUCUCCUCCACCAAUAACUCCAUUAAUCCCCACCACAUGCCGGUGCUCCCUUAUCCUCUUUACUUUUCUUCUAUGUGAUUGAAAUAUACAGUUUGGAAUAUGGGAAUUUCUUUUUUAUUCUAGGGUUUUUGUUGGAAGACACCAAAACAAUGACCAUCAUCUAAUAACCGCACCUACUCCCUUCUCCCCGGGACUCUCCACGGUAACACAUGGUUUUGAUUUUAUGUAAUGGAUUAAAAAUCACAAUUUCAAAAUUCAUCAGCUAAAAGGAAAGCGGUUUUCGUUAAUAUCCAUCUUCAUAUUCUGAUCCUGACUUACUUUUUCUCUCGAUUUGGUUAUCAUUUUUUACUAGAAAAAAUAUGUUUUUUUGGUUGAUUUUCUUACUCUUCCUAUGCAGAAGACGAUAACAACAAGAUAAGAAGGCUCUAUCAAACGUUUUCAAGGUAUCAACAAGUAAAAGGUGUUGAAGACAUCGAUUGGGCCGUAGAGAUGCUCAUAUCCAUUGAUUUGAAGGUUGUUAACAUCCUGCUUGAUUGUGUGAAGAAGAAUAUGUGGGUUUUCUUUUCAACUUUUUCACUGUUGUUCUCUGGUAAUGUGAAAGGGGCCUCAUUUUGCUAAUUUUGUGUCUUCGGUGUUUAUGUUUACAUAACCUUUUGGGCUCUUAUCUUCCGAUUUUCGGGUGUAAAAAAUUAUAAAUCUUUUUGCUAUAUUCUUAAAAUGAUAUUGGACUAAGAAAAGAAACAUGUAUAGUAUUAUUCUAGAGUCUAAAUUUUGUUCUUUGUGAUC